rnacentral:rRNA from 1 species
UACGUAGGGUGCGAGCGUUGUCCGGAAUUACUGGGCGUAAAGAGCUCGUAGGCGGUUUGUCGCGUCUGCUGUGAAAACGCGAGGCUCAACCUCGCGCCUGCAGUGGGUACGGGCAGACUAGAGUGCGGUAGGGGAGAUUGGAAUUCCUGGUGUAGCGGUGGAAUGCGCAGAUAUCAGGAGGAACACCGAUGGCGAAGGCAGAUCUCUGGGCCGUAACUGACGCUGGAGGAGCGAAAGCGUGGGGAGCGAACAGG